rnacentral:rRNA from 1 species
CAGUCGCCACGGGAAUACCGAGGGUGCGAGCGUUAAUCGGAUUUACUGGGCGUAAAGCGUGCGUAGGUGGUGGUUUAAGUCCGUUGUGAAAGCCCUGGGCUCAACCUGGGAAUUGCAGUGGAUACUGGGUCACUAGAGUGUGGUAGAGGAUAGUGGAAUUUCCGGUGUAGCAGUGAAGUGCGUAGAGAUCGGAAGGAACAUCUGUGGCGAAGGCGACUAUCUGGGCCAACACUGACACUGAGGCACGAAAGCGUGGGGAGCAAACAGGAUUAGAUACCCGUGUAGUCCCUGUCUCUUAUAC